GAAACGCGAUAAGUAAUGUGAAUUGCAGAAUUCAGUGAAUCAUCGAAUCUUUGAACGCACAUGGCGCCCGUUAGUAUCCUAGCGGGCAUGCCUGUCCGAGCGUCGUUUCAACCCUCGAGCUCUGUAUUGCGCUCGGCGUUGGGGAUCUACGCACUGCCGUAGCCCCCUAAAACCAGCGGCGGACCCGUCGCGGCCCAUCCUCUGCGUAGUAACAACACCUCGCAUUGGUGGUCGGCGGGUGCCUGCCGGAAAACACAAAAGCCCGUCCUCGCGGCGGCAUCAAGGUUGACCUCGGAUCAGGUAGGGAUACCCGCUGAACUUAA
rnacentral:misc_RNA from 1 species